AUAAUAAUAUGAAAGAACGCAUCCUUUUAUAGUUGCUUGUUUGCAAGCUCAUCACAAGAAUGAGAAAGCAAGACAUGGACUUAUUGGCUCUAUGGGGUUAUCUUAUGGACGAAGCUGCUGCAAAGAAAUAGCAAAGCGUUUCUCUUCACAUUCUUACGCUCGAGGGAGACUCAAAGAUUAUUAGAUUGGUUCAAGGCAAGCAACAUUAGGUAAGCAGCUCACCUCUCUUUCUCUUUUGUGCUUGGUCGUUCAAGACGAGCAACAUUCGGUAAGCAGCACACUUCUCUGCCUCUUUUUUGCUUGAUUUUUUUUCUCCCUUUACAGAGUAGGGGACACCAUCACCCGUAACUAUUUCAACUGUACAAACAUGUUGCUGGGGGUCCGACACCACCGUUCUGCAAGUCAAGAGGACUGACAUCAAGAGAAUAAUUCUACGUGAAAUUUCAGCAGAAAGAAACAGAAAAAGAGAGCACCAACAAUUGGUGAAGAAGGAAAAAAUAGGCACUUGGCAUUUCAUCUCUUUUGAAAAAUACCAAAAAUAAUGUGGCCAUGAUGAGCUCUUACUAGCUUUAUCACUCAUGUAUCUUUUCGUAGAGCAUAUGCAAGACUACCUUGAAGCAAG
rnacentral:lncRNA from 1 species